ACUUGUUUGUGCUCUAGGAAGUCCCCAAGAGCACAGGAGCCCAGAGACCUCGCAGGAGGAAGCAGCAGUAUCUGUGUUCCAAAUCCUGCCCAGCCCCCAGGCAGCCAUGCCUCCUGCCCCCAACAGGAUUCCUCACAUCCCAGGACCAGCUGGAAAAGGUGGUGAGAGUUGGAAAGAGACUGCUCAGUGAGGACUGCCCUGCGAACCAGCUUGGAUUCAUCCCGUUCACCUCCACGUUCUGCACUCGGGGCCGAGGGAAGGGAGGCAGCCCAGGCAGCUAGAGAACUUGAUGAAACACACUCAAUCUGAAUCUCGCUUGAUCGUCAUGCUGACCCAGUGAGUCUACUCAGGGUCAGGCAUCCUUUCCGACUACUCACUCAGCAGCGGAUCCCCACCCGCCUCUGACUCCCAGUGUCUUUCGGCUCCAACGUAAGUUCACCGAACGUCUAAGAGCUGAGGAUUCAAAGGCAUGUAAGACCGCCCCUGCCCUCAGCUGCAAGACCUGUCCGCGAUCCUACGAGCCCCAUUCCGCCCUCUUUCCCCGACCUUGGUCCCCCAUGGGCCCUACAACCAGGUCCCCGACUGACACCUUGACCAGCGAACACAGCAAACAGGCCCGCAGAUGCCGCAGGUCCUUCGGCACCGUCUCCAGGGCCAUCUUCGCCGAUGGGAAGAACAACAGGGAGAUAGACGACCACAGCCUGUGCACCCGCAGGAAGUAAAUAGCUCGUUACCCAGAAUGCCCACCACUUCCGGCGCUUAGACUUCCUCUUCCGGUGUGGGCGGACGCCAGCUCCGCCCCUACCCCCGCCAGAGGAGAUGGUUUCUCCCGCCAGCAGGCGGGGAGGCUGGGCGGCCGGCCGCCACCUGGGCCGGAGCGCGUCGCAGCCACCUGAGCCCGCCGAGGGCGCGGCGGAGGCUGUGUGGGGUAGUCAGCGGGCCCCCGGGGCGGGGGGGCGGCUGCGCUUGCGCGGGAGUGUGUCGGGCUGAGCCGCAGCGCCGAGACGCGGGCUGUUUGAUCUGGGCUGGUGGCCCUGGGCGUCGGUCCUGUUCCCCGAUGGUAACCCGAAGUUUGUUUUUUUUUGUUUUGUCUCCCCGUUUUAGAAGCAUUGGGGGCAGUGAAUCCACUGUCUCCCUCUGGAUUGUCUCUGCAGAGACCGAGAAGAAAUCCAGGGACAGCCCCACCCCUCCUUCCUAACUGCGAGAGCGCUAUAGGGUUUCCACUUGCUUCCCACAGGAAUGCUGGCCUGGGAGCUACGGCGGAAAAAAAUGCGUAUUUAUCUUUUAAAACUCCGUCUGUUUGCUCGUUCCGGCUGAUAAUUUAUACUUUGCGCAGUUCUUAGCGCUUAGACACGGUUCCUUUACUAAAGACCAUUUGUAGGAGAUUAGGUGUCCUUUUUUUCCCUUUCAUUUCACCGUCUAGGAAGCGAAAUGCCUUGUUCUAUAGGCACUAAACCACCACCCCUACCAAACCUUUCUCGGGGAAGCAGAAGGGGAACUUGUGCCUUGUGAGGAAGCGACAAAGGCCCCUUCUGGCCCUGGAGACUUCACGCCAAUGGAGCACCAGCUCUCUGUCCUCGCAAUAGCCCGAGUGCAGGCAGAACGCAGUCAUUUGUGUUUAUCUGAGAGGAGCUUUGGGAUAUAAAUAGUUUCAGGCCCCGCUGCGCUGUCAUUCCAGCCCAGCCUCCUGAUUGAGCUGCUUCCGGGCGGGCUUUCUUCUUGUUGGCGGUCCCAUGCUGUGUUCAGAUGGGCUCUGUGACAGGUUUGGAUGUUUUCUAUCACUGAAUAAAACUUUCCACUUUGGAACAUAUUUUCUACACUCUAUUAUCUCAUGUAAGUCCUGCAACAACUAUUAAGUAGGCCCAUUUUAUGGACUGAAAAAGCGAGGCACAGAGUAUUUGCCCAAGGUCUGAGUCACUGAAGUAUGAUAAUGUGUGAAGUGAACAGUAUAAUAAUAAUGACUGAAGCACAGUAAGAAUCCAGUCAUGCUUUCUCCUUCCCUGAUCUCACUAAGCCACACUUUUAGGGGCUUACAAACCAGUUCUUAUUGCCAAGCCCUCUACUCUACCCUAUCCUUUCAUGAAUCGGAGCCUAGCCUCUGAUAACAUAAAUAAUUUACUUCUCUUGAUGUAGAAAGAGAUGACGUUGUUACCCUGAGUGACAGUCACGACAGAACAAAACCACAAGACCAGACCACAUUUGUGGAUAAAUAUAUUAGCAAAUAAAUAUAUUUCUUAACAUAGUGCCUGA
rnacentral:lncRNA from 10 species